rnacentral:tRNA from 2 species
GCAGGAAUAGCUCAGUUGGCAGAGCGCGGCCCGUCAGGGUCGAGGCAAGAGUUCGAGACUCUUUUCCUGCU